AUGGAUAACAUCCUGUGCCGUGGCUCGAAGCGAAUGAUGAAGCUCCCAACCAUGCUCUCACACUUCUUCCUAAGUAUUAACUCCAUUCCAGGUCAAUACGACAGAGCUCGUGUUUUCUACCUCAGUGACUUUCUCAGAAUCAACAGCGCUGUGGCUCAUGUAACGGAUACCAUCUUGAGCACAAGGAGCCCCGAGAUCACCAUCAUCCAACUCAAAAUCAGAUUCAUCUUGACGCAAUCAGACUGUUCCAGAAUCGCCAAAUCUGUUGCUCGCGCCAUGGCAACACACAAGGUUGGCGCGGCUGAGUUUGAGAUCAUACCGGAGAAGUUUUCCAAGUGCUCCCCUGCUGAUCUCCUCGUCCAUGCGAAGCAGUUCAAUGAUUUUUUCGGUGCUUGUCCGGAUGCAUUUGCUGGCCUCACCCGUCUGUGGCUGAACAAUAUGAGGUUCGGUGAACUGGACAUACACAACAUCCUCAGCACUUGCAAGCUCUUGGAGUCUUUGCGUUUAUCCCAUUGUGACUCGGGGUUCAAUUCUAUGCUGCAGCUAGAACAUGCUCAACUUACUGAGCUCGAGGUCGAGUUUGGGAAAUUUGAGGCAGUAGAGCUCACUUGCCUGCCAAAACUCCAGCUGGUGGGCUAUAAGAAUUGGUUCAACUCUCAUAAAUAUCCCCUGUAUUUUGGUUUUGUACGACAGCUUUCAAAGCUGAGGCUUGCUAAAUCUGGCUCCUGUUCGACUGGGACUCUUAUGUUCAGUCAGUUCCUUGGUAAUGUUCCUUCCAUAAGCGAUCUGCAUCUGGAUUUUCAAAGUGAAAAGAUUUGGGUUCUGCCAGAAAGCCCGAAGCUGCUGAGGCCUGUGCUCAGCAACCUACAGCACGUGAAUCUGGACCAUCUUCCUGAAGGAUGUGAUUUAGCUUGGACAAUGUUUAUUCUUGAAGCUGCACCAUCCCUAAAAGAGUUGUGCAUCACAGUAUGGGAUCAUUGGUGCGUAAUGGCGAGAGACGAAGAGUUUCGGAAGAGAAAUGGUUACUGUGAAAAGGCAGACGUGGAGUGGAAGCCACAUGCCCCUGAUUUCAAGCACAAGAAUCUGGUUAAGCUCACCAUCUAUGGCUUCCAACCUGACGGCAUCUUUGUGCGAUUCAUCAGGUGUGUCAUGGAACAUGCAGUUAAUAUGGCGGAGAUACCUCUGCAUGACAGGAAGGUAUGCCUGCGCUGUGGUGACUUGGAUCCCAAGAUGAAGUGCCCAUCAAGAUAUCCACGGAACGCAGAUGAGCGCAUGCAGAUCAUUGAAGAAUUGGGGAUGUCUUUGCCUGCUAUGGUUCGUUUCCUGUCGUAA
rnacentral:rRNA from 1 species